rnacentral:rRNA from 1 species
AUUGAACGCUGGCGGCAGGCCUAACACAUGCAAGUCGAGCGAGCGGCGGACGGGUGAGUAAUGUAUGGGGAUCUGCCCGAUAGAGGGGGAUAACUACUGGAAACGGUGGCUAAUACCGCAUACUAUAGGAUGAACCCAUAUGGGAUUAGCUAGUAGGUGGGGUAAAGGCUCACCAAGGCGACGAUCUCUAGCUGGUCUGAGAGGAUGAUCAGCCACACUGUGACUGAGACACGGCCCAGACUCCUACGGGAGGCAGCAGUGGGGAAUAUUGCGCAAUGGGCGCAAGCCUGAUGCAGCCAUGCCGCGUGUAUGAAGAAGGCCUUAGGGUUGUAAAGUUCUUUCAGCGGCGAGGCGUUACCCGCAGAAGAAGCACCGGCUAACUCCGUGCCAGCAGCCGCGGUAAUUC